UUUGCUCCUAGCCAAGCCAUGCUGGCUGCUACCAAACACCUCUUUGUUUUCCACAUGACUUAGCAGUUUCCAGGAAGAUCUUUCCCACCAUCUUGCCAGGCACUGAGUGUGCAAUAUUCCUAUAAAUCUGCCAUCUGCAGGACAAGUCAAUUGCCUGAAGAGCUAAAAUCCACUCUCAGGUCGCAAACAAGGCUGAGACAUCUAGGCAAUAUCAGAGGCACAAUUACCUGCAGAGAUGAAGCAGCCAGAAAGAGGAUGAUAAGUACCAACAAUUUGCCUAUAUAACAACAGGGGACGGAGGGCCAUAUAUCUUCAGCAAAAUAGCAUCUCACUUCUUCCAAGAAAUUGAACUAUAAUCUCAGCUGACAAAAUACAACCUUCAGAGUAUUA